AUUGAACGCUGGCGGCAUGCUUUACACAUGCAAGUCGAACGGCAGCGCGGGCUUCGGCCUGGCGGCGAGUGGCGAACGGGUGAGUAAUGCAUCGGAACGUGCCCAGUAGUGGGGGAUAGCCCGGCGAAAGCCGGAUUAAUACCGCAUACGACCUGAGGGUGAAAGCGGGGGACCGAAAGGCCUCGCGCUAUUGGAGCGGCCGAUGUCGGAUUAGCUAGUUGGUGGGGUAAAGGCUUACCAAGGCGACGAUCCGUAGCUGGUCUGAGAGGACGACCAGCCACACUGGGACUGAGACACGGCCCAGACUCCUACGGGAGGCAGCAGUGGGGAAUGUUGGACAAAGGGGGCAACCCUGAUCCAGCCAUGCCGCGUGCGGGAAGAAGGCCUUCGGGUUGUAAACCGCUUUUGUUCGGGAAGAAAUCCUCUGGGCUAAUACCCCGGGGGGAUGACGGUACCGGAAGAAUAAGCACCGGCUAGCUACGUG
rnacentral:rRNA from 1 species